AGCGAACGCUGGCGGCAGGCUUAGCACAUGCAAGUCGAGCGGGCCCCUCGGGGUCAGCGGCGGACGGGUGAGUAACGCGUGGGAACGUGCCUUCUGGUUCGGAAUAACUCAGGGAAACUUGAGCUAAUACCGGAUACGCCCUUUUGGGGAAAGGUUUACUGCCGGAAGAUCGGCCCGCGUCUGAUUAGCUAGUUGGUGGGGUAACGGCCUACCAAGGCGACGAUCAGUAGCUGGUCUGAGAGGAUGAUCAGCCACACUGGGACUGAGACACGGCCCAGACUCCUACGGGAGGCAGCAGUGGGGAAUAUUGGACAAUGGGCGCAAGCCUGAUCCAGCCAUGCCGCGUGAGUGAUGAAGGCCUUAGGGUUGUAAAGCUCUUUUAUCCGGGACGAUAAUGGCGGUACCGGAGGAAUAAGCCCCGGCUAACUUCGUG
rnacentral:rRNA from 1 species